AUUGAACGCUGGCGGCAUGCCUUACACAUGCAAGUCGAACGGCAGCACGGGGCAACCUGGUGGCGAGUGGCGAACGGGUGAGUAAUGCAUCGGAACGUACCUUUCAGUGGGGGAUAACGUAGCGACAGUUACGCUAAUACCGCAUAUUCUGUGAGCAGGAAAGCAGGGGAUCGCAAGACCUUGCGCUGCUUGAGCGGCCGAUGUCAGAUUAGCUAGUUGGUGAGGUAAAGGCUCACCAAGGCGACGAUCUGUAGCGGGUCUGAGAGGAUGAUCCGCCACACUGGAACUGAGACACGGUCCAGACUCCUACGGGAGGCAGCGGUGGGGAAUUUUGGACAAUGGGGGCAACCCUGAUCCAGCCAUGCCGCGUGAGUGAAGAAGGCCUUCGGGUUGUAAAGCUCUUUCGGCCGGGAAGAAAUCGCACGGGCUAAUACCCUGUGUGGAUGACGGUACCGGAAUAAGAAGCACCGGCUAACUACGUGCCAGCCGCCGCAGUAAAAC
rnacentral:rRNA from 1 species